GAUGAACGCUGACAGAAUGCUUAACACAUGCAAGUCAACUGUGGCGGACGGGUGCGUAACGCGUAAAGAACUUGCCUCACAGAUAGGGACAACAUUUGGAAACGAAUGCUAAUACCUGAUACUGUGAGAGAGCUUUGCGUCCCAUUAGCUAGUUGGAGAGGUAACGGCUCACCAAGGCGAGGAUGGGUAGCCGGCCUGGGAGGGUGAUCGGGCACAAGGGGACUGGGACGGGGCCCUUGGUGAUUCGGGAGGAAGCGGUGGGGAAUAUUGGACGAUGGGCCGAAGUCUGAUCCAGCAAUUCGGUGUGCAAGAUGAAGUUUUCGGAAUGUAGGGGGCUUUCAGUUGGGAAGCGGUACCGACAGAAGAAGUGACGGCUAACUACGUGCCAGCAGCCGCGGUAAUUC
rnacentral:rRNA from 1 species